AGGGCUUGACAUGUCUGGAAUCCUGCAGAGAUGCGGGAGUGCCCUUCGGGGAAUCGGAACAC
rnacentral:rRNA from 1 species